AAUAAGAAAGAAAAGAAAAGAAAGAAUAAAGGAGAGAAAAGAAAGAAAGAAGAAGAUUAGAAAAAGAGAAAAGAAAGAAUAAAGAAGAGAAAAGAAAGAAAGAACUAAGAAGAUUAGAAAGAAGAAAGAUGAGGUAAAUUUAGGUUUUCGCGUUCAAAUCAGUUCAAACCCGCUCGGACUGGGAAGCGCUCCAUUCUCUCUAUCCGCUAAACAUCAAACAGUGACUAUUAUCUUAAAUUGAGGUGCAAAUGUCUUCUUUAUCGAAG
rnacentral:lncRNA from 1 species